rnacentral:rRNA from 1 species
AGACUUUGAUCCUGGCUCAGGACGAACGCUGGCGGCGUGCCUAAUACAUGCAAGUCGAGCGGGACUUGGAUUGGUGCUUGCACCGGUUCAAGUUUAGCGGCGGACGGGUGAGUAACACGUGGGUAACCUGCCUUAUAGAUUGGGAUAACUCCGGGAAACCGGGGCUAAUACCGAAUAAUACUUUUAGACACAUGUCCGGAGGUUGAAAGACGGUUUCGGCUGUCGCUAUGAGAUGGACCCGCGGCGCAUUAGCUAGUUGGUGAGGUAACGGCUCACCAAGGCAACGAUGCGUAGCCGACCUGAGAGGGUGAUCGGCCACACUGGGACUGAGACACGGCCCAGACUCCUACGGGAGGCAGCAGUAGGGAAUCUUCCACAAUGGACGAAAGUCUGAUGGAGCAACGCCGCGUGAGUGAAGAAGGAUUUCGGUUCGUAAAACUCUGUUGCAAGGGAAGAACAAGUAGCGUAGUAACUGGCGCUACCUUGACGGUACCUUGUUAGAAAGCCACGGCUAACUACGUGCCAGCAGCCGCGGUAAUACGUAGGUGGCAAGCGUUGUCCGGAAUUAUUGGGCGUAAAGCGCGCGCAGGUGGUUCCUUA